rnacentral:ncRNA from 1 species
UUUGAUUUGCCCCACUUUCGAGCCUUGCAGCCACUGCUGGACGUCAUCACGGAAUGAGUCGCUCGAUUAACACUAAACCGAAUCAGGGCAAAC